rnacentral:rRNA from 1 species
UGCAGUCGAACGCAGUAGCAAUACUGAGUGGCAAACGGGUGAGUAUACUGUGGGGGUCUGCCUUUUGGUCUGGAAUAACACGAGGAAACCUAUUGCUAAUACCGGAUAAGCCUUCACAGGGAAAGUUUUAAUGCCAAAAGAUGAGCCCGCACUUGAUUAGCUAGUUGGUAAGGUAAUAGCUUACCAAGGCAACGAUCAAUAGCUGUUCUUAGAGGAAGACCAGCCACAUUGGGACUGAGACACGGCCCAAACUCCUACGGGAGGCAGCAGUGGGGAAUCUUGCACAAUGGGGGAAACCCUGAUGCAGCGAUGCCGCGUGAGUGAAGAAGGCCUUUGGGUUGUAAAACUCUUUCGUCGGGGAAGAAAAUGACUGUACCCGAAUAAGAAGGUCCGGCUAACUUCGUGCCAGCAGCCGCGGUAAUACGAAGGGACCUAGCGUAGUUCGGAAUUACUGGGCUUAAAGAGUUCGUAGGUGGUUAAAAAAGUUGAUGGUGAAAUCCCAAGGCUCAACCUUGGAACUGCCAUCAAAACUUUUUAGCUAGAGUAUGAUAGAGGAAAGUGGAAUUUCUAGUGUAGAGGUGAAAUUCGUAGAUAUUAGAAAGAACAUC